AAAAAAGAGAGGAGAAAAUAGGCAAAUUAUAGAAGAGAGAAGUACAAAGUAGGAUCUCCCAUCACCAGAAACUCAAAGAUUUUUGCUUUAUCGGGGUAUGGGAGAUUGUUCUAUAAUGGAUGUUUAAGCUUAGGGAUAAUGGGCGACGACUAUCAUCACGUCGGAGAAGAAGAUGUGUCUCGCCUAGUUGACGGGCAUCAGUCAUGUGUCGGUCAAAUCGCCAACAUCUUAUGACGGAAGAUAUUCCCUCAGACCAUCUGUGAUGACGGGUAAGCACACCAAGAGGGCGACGACCAUCAUGGCCGUGACGGGCCGAUCGUCAGCCAUGUGUUGACCGAAUUUGAAUGUUUGACUCGUCUCUUUACAUAGAUUUUGAUUCUUCAACUUAUUUUAUAUUGUUUAAGUGAUAAUUGUUGAGAAAAUAUUUAUGUUUGUUUAUGAUCAAUUUAAUUGAUAGUCAUCUUGUGAGUAA